AAUCUCAGUUCAGAUUGCAGGCUGCAACUCGCCUGCAUGAAGUCGGAAUUGCUAGUAAUCGUAGGUCAGCAUACUACGGUGAAUACGUUCCCGGGCCUGUACACACCGCCCGUCAAACCAUGAGAGUUGGCAACACCCGAAGUCGGUAGUCUAACCGCAAGGAGGACGCCGCCGAAGGUGGGGUUGAUGAUUAGGGUUAAGUCGUAACAAGGUACC
rnacentral:rRNA from 1 species